rnacentral:rRNA from 1 species
GAUGAACGCUGGCGGCGUGCCUAAUACAUGCAAGUCGAGCGAACAGACGAGGAGCUUGCUCCUUUGACGUUAGCGGCGGACGGGUGAGUAACACGUGGGUAACCUACCUAUAAGACUGGGAUAAUUUCGGGAAACCGGAGCAAAUACCGGAUAAUAUUUCGAACCGCAUGGUUCGUUAGUGAAAGAUGGCUUUGCUAUCACUUAUAGAUGGACCUGCGCCGUAUUAGCUAGUUGGUAAGGUAACGGCUUACCAAGGCAACGAUACGUAGCCGACCUGAGAGGGUGAUCGGCCACACUGGAACUGAGACACGGUCCAGACUCCUACGGGAGGCAGCAGUAGGGAAUCUUCCGCAAUGGGCGAGAGCCUGACGGAGCAACGCCGCGUGAGUGAUGAAGGUCUUCGGAUCGUAAAACUCUGUUAUUAGGGAAGAACAAACGUGUAAGUAACUGUGCACGGCUUGACGGUACCUAAUCAGAAAGCCACGGCUAACUACGUG